GUUUGAUCCUGGCUCAGGUCGUAACAAGGUAGCCGUGUUUGAUCCUGGCUCAGGACGAACGCUGGCGGCGUGCCUAACACAUGCAAGUCGAGCGAAGAAGUCCCUUCGGGGAUGGAUUAGCGGCGGACGGGUGAGUAACACGUGGGUAACCUGGCUCAAAGAGGGGGAUAGCCUCCCGAAAGGGGGAUUAAUACCGCAUAAAAGGUAAAUAUCGCAUGGUAAAUACCUUAAAGGAGAAAUCCGCUUUGAGAUGGGCCCGCGUCGCAUUAGCUAGUUGGAGGGAUAAAGGCCCCCCAAGGCGACGAUGCGUAGCCGACCUGAGAGGGUGAACGGCCACAUUGGAACUGAGAUACGGUCCAGACUCCUACGGGAGGCAGCAGUGGGGAAUAUUGCACAAUGGGGGAAAUCCUGAUGCAGCAACGCCGCGUGAGUGAAGAAGGUUUUCGGAUCGUAAAGCUCUGUCAUCCGGGACGAUAAUGACGGUACCGGAAGAGGAAGCCACGGCUAACUACGUGCCAGCAGCCGCGGUAAUACGUAGGUGGCGAGCGUUGUCCGGAAUUACUGGGCGUAAAGGGUGUGCAGGCGGAUAUUUAAGUGAGAUGUGAAAGACCCGGGCUUAACCCGGGCAGUGCAUUUCAAACUGGAUAUCUAGAGUGCAGGAGAGGAGAACGGAAUUCCUAGUGUAGCGGUGAAAUGCGUAGAGAUUAGGAAGAACACCAGUGGCGAAGGCGGUUCUCUGGACUGNUACUGACGCUGAGGCACGAAAGCGUGGGUAGCAAACAGGAUUAGAUACCCUGGUAGUCCACGCCGUAAACGAUGAGUACU
rnacentral:rRNA from 1 species